rnacentral:rRNA from 1 species
UGAGUAACACGUGAGUGACCUGCCUUUUAGACUGGAACAACUUACCGAAAGGUGAGCUAAUGCCGGAUGAGUUAUAUAAGUGCAUGUUUAUAUAGGAAAAGUCGGGGAGACCUGACGCUGAAAGAUGGACUCGCGUCCCAUUAGCUAGUUGGUAGGGUAAUGGCCUACCAAGGCGACGAUGGGUAGCCGGCCUGAGAGGGUGGCCGGCCACACUGGGACUGAGACACGGCCCAGACUCCUACGGGAGGCAGCAG